rnacentral:lncRNA from 1 species
AAAUUUACUAUGAUCCUUGACAUUUCAAAUUUAUAUUGCUGUUAUUAUUUUUUGUGAUAAUUUGUAGAGCUGAAGUUUGUCAAGUUUGUAUAAUGCAUUUAGCGCUGUAGUUAAGAGCAUGGGCUAUGAAUGGAUGCUAAUGGAGAGCCUGUUGCAAUGUAAAAAAGACACUCAAGUAGCUCAGUGGAAUGGCCCACAUGAUGAGAAACUGAGAGCCAGCGUCAACUGCCCAUCACAUAAUUAAGCAAGCUUGGUAGCAGACCUUCUUGCUCCGGUCAAGCCUUCAGAUGACUGGAACCCCAGCUGACAACUCCACUGUAACCCUAUGAGAGCUGCCAAGCUAGAAUCACUCAGCCAAGCCACUCCUGAAUUCUGGAUCCCCAGAGUCUGUGUGAGAUAAUAAAUGUUCAUUGUUAUAAGCCACAAAGGUUUGAGGCCACUUGGUACAAAGCAAUAGAUAAUUAAGACAUUCUUCAUUCUAAGUUUUUACUCUAUACAAGGUUUAUGUCGUAUGUGUAUAUAUCCUUUCUGCCACCCCCUAACAUACACACAACCAUCUUUCAAGCAAGUCCUCCGUAUAGGAGCACAGGAAAAUAUCCAGGAGCAAUAGGUGGGCGUGUACACUUUGAUAAUCACACACUUUUAAGGAAUUAAAACUCUAAGUUAUUUGUGUCCAUUGCUAUACCUGCAUACAUAAUGAGGCCCAUCUGUAAAAUUUCCUCAUACAAGAAAUUAUUCACAAAAUUAAAUAUCACAUGUUUAAUCUUCAUUAAUAUAUAUAUGCUAAUUAAUUUGUAGCACAAUACAUCAUUCCAUUUUCUUACAGUAGCAUAAGCAGACUACUGCUGAUAUAAUUUUAUUACCCAGGUGGUUAUAAGCAUUGAGUUAAUGUCUUGUCAUUGACUUCUGCUAACUGGCAGAAUUGAGUUGUUUCAUACUAUUUCAGCUGGCAGUGAGAUAAAUGAGUUACACAGUUAAGAGGGACAUCUGCCUGAAAUACUGAUAAGCUGUAGCAGGACAGUUUAAAGCAAAUAUGAAUUCCUUCAGCAGCAGAAAAUUUUUACACAAUUAUUAACUGUAACUUCACUGUGAGUCAUGAUCACAUUAUAUAAAAAUGCUAAAGUACUAACAUUACCAGAAGCACUCAAAGCACAUAAUCUAUUAUUCAUUCCAUCUGUCCUUUGUCUUACAUAAAAUUAAUUUAUCAUUAACAUUUCAGAUCAAUGUUAAAAUAUGAUAAAAUUUGAGAAGAUAAACAUUUACUCUUUAUAUCACUAUAUUUCCAAGACUAAAACGACAAAGCAGAUGAAAGAUCAUAUCUUUGAAAACUUUUGGAUACCUGAAUAAUCUCUGUAAUAGAAUUGAUUAAAAACUGUUUUCAGUAUUAGUUUCCAAUACAAUAAUGGUUUGAAAACACAGAUUAUUUUAUUAGUAUUGAUGUAAAUUUCUUCUAUGAAAAUCUGGGUUCUAAAUUAACCUAAACAAUAUUAAAGGUAUUAAAUUAUAUUACAAUAAGAUUUCAACUCUAUACAAAUUAUAUUUCUGCAAAGCACAGAUGUUUUCUUUUGUAUAAGUCCAUGAAACAGCUUUUAGAGCGGCAUGAAUUACAGCAAAAUAAAAUUUAUAAAAAAUGAGAUUUAAAUGUUUUAUCCUUCAACAAAUAGCAGCAUAAUUUUACCAAAUACAAAAUGGUAUAAAAGGUAAUCAUUAGGAAAUGAGAAUCACAAACUGCUCUUCUGAAACAUUAAGAUAGACAAGGGUUAGCUAUUCAUCAUAGGUACUAGAUCUUUACACAUAACUUUAAAAAUUUGAUAUUUUCAUUUAAUACCCAUAUUAAUACAUUUAUAAAUUAUUGAAGGAGUAGGGAUGAGAGGUGUUUGCUUCUGACAUUAACUUGGCUAAGGGAGCCUUAUAUGUGUGGCAAUACGUAAGAAAUAAAAUUUCAAGUCAAUAAAUUUUUGCUUAGUCAAUUCUAUUUACUUUAUUUAUUAUUGUAUUAAAAUUGUACCCUUGCUAACCAAUG